rnacentral:rRNA from 1 species
GAUGAACGCUGGCGGCGUGCCUAAUACAUGCAAAUCGAGCGAACAGAUGAGGAGCUUGCUCCUCUGACGUUAGCGGCGGACGGGUGAGUAACACGUGGAUAACCUACCUAUAAGACUGGGAUAACUUCGGGAAACCGGAGCUAAUACCGGAUAAUAUAUUGAACCGCAUGGUUCAAUAGUGAAAGACGGUUUUGCUGUCACUUAUAGAUGGAUCCGCGCCGCAUUAGCUAGUUGGUAAGGUAACGGCUUACCAAGGCAACGAUGCGUAGCCGACCUGAGAGGGUGAUCGGCCACACUGGAACUGAGACACGGUCCAGACUCCUACGGGAGGCAGCAGUAGGGAAUCUUCCGCAAUGGGCGAGAGCCUGACGGAGCAACGCCGCGUGAGUGAUGAAGGUCUUCGGAUCGUAAAACUCUGUUAUUAGGGAAGAACAAAUGUGUAAGUAACUAUGCACGUCUUGACGGUACCUAAUCAGAAAGCCACGGCUAACUACGUG